GUCCUUCCAGCCCUGAUCCUUUCCGUCCGUGUGGUAACAAAAAGGCUUUUACUUCCCAGUAUGGCUGCACAGCUGGAGGUUUUUCACACACAUCCACCUCUCUGCGUUGUUUUAAAGGGUCUGGUUUCAUGCUACUGGGAAGAGAAGAGCAUGGAGAAGUGGUGUACCAGGUUGGUGGCUGCCUAGGAAUUACUGCUGGUAUACAACAGUACCCGGAAGAAACUGAUUCGUCUGGAGAGCUUUUAGAUGUUCCCAUUCUGUUGCGUUAGGUGACUUCUCACGCCCCUUGUGCUAUUCAGCGUAUCCCGUUUGCUGAUUAAAGCUUUUGGUACAGCGGAGGAUCAGCGCACGUUACCAAGUUACUUGCCAAAGGUUUCCUUUCUCCUGAGUAUUCUUUGUUUGUUGUCAUUUGUGACUAGAUUGCUUGUAGGCAGUGUUUGUGAGGGAAGAUAGGAUCCUAAAGCUAUUUCAAAUACAUGUGAUAAUUUUGACAGCACUAGUGGCAGAACUUUACUAGGGAAAUUCAACACCCACCUGAGGAAAUAAAACAUUGUGGUGCUGGGUUCUGCGAAGAAAGGUGUUUUGCAAAGCUAUUAUUUUUAAAAUC